AUAAUGAAGCAAUGACACGGAAAGAUAGAAGAAGCGCGCGGAUGGAAAAGCGCGUCCAAGCAAAGAGGGUGGCUGGUAGUAAAGAACGCCAGUCGGAAGCCUGAUUUGUGACGGGGAGUGGACCAAGGAAUCGAAGUCUUUGAAUCUACGCCGGCGAGAAAAGUUGCUAAAUAUUUCGAGGUACCCGUACCGCAAACCGACACAGGUAGACGAGAAGAAAAUUCUAAGACGAACGGGAGAAUCCUUGUUAAGGAACUCGGCAAAACGACCCCGUAACUUCGGGAGAAGGGGAGCCAUCGAGAGAUGGCCGCAGUGAAGAGGCCCAAGCGACUGUUUAUCAAAAACACAGGUUUCUGCUAAGGCGAAAGCCAAGGUAUAGGAGCUGACUCCUGGCCAGUGCCGGAAGGUCAAGGGGACUUGUUAGCAGCAAUGCGAAGCAACGAACUUAAGCCCCGGUGAACGGCGGCCGUAACAAUAACGGUCCUAAGGUAGCGAAAUUCCUUGUCGGGUAAGUUCCGACCCGCACGAAUGGAGUAACGAUUUGGGCGCUGUCUCAACAGGGGGCCCGGCGAAAUUGUAGUAUACGUGAAGAUGCGUAUUAACCCGCGACUGGACGGAAAGACCCCGUAGAGCUUUACUGUAGCUUGAUAUUGAAUCUCGGCAACUGAUGCACAGAAUAGGUGGGAGACUGAGAAGCAGCGUUUUCGGGCGCUGCGGAGUCAACUUUGGGAUACCACUCUUCGGUUGCUGCGAUUCUAACCGAAAACCGUGAAACCGGGUUCGGGACAUUGUCAGGCGGGCAGUUUGACUGGGGCGGUCGCCUCCUAAAGAGUAACGGAGGCGCUCAAAGGUUCCCUCAGAAUGGUUGGAAAUCAUUCGACGAGUGUAAAGGUAUAAGGGAGCUUGACUGUGAGACUGACAAGUCGAACAGGUGCGAAAGCAGGACUUAGUGAUCAGGUGGUAUGAGAAUGGAAUUGCCACCGCUUAACGGAUAAAAGUUACCUCGGGGAUAACAGGCUUAUCUCCCCCAAGAGUUCACAUCGACGGGGAGGUUUGGCACCUCGAUGUCGGCUCGUCACAUCCUGGGGCUGAAGCAGGUCCCAAGGGUUCGGCUGUUCGCCGAUUAAAGUGGCACGCGAGCUGGGUUCAAAACGUCGUGAGACAGUUUGGUCCCUAUCCAUCGUGGGCGUAGGAUAUUUGAGAGGGUUUGUCCUUAGUACGAGAGGACCGGGAUGAACGCACCUACCGUGCAUCUGUUGUCGCGCCAGCGGCAUGGCAGAGUAGCGGAGUGCGGUUGAGAUAGACGCUGAAAGCAUCUAAGCGUGAACUCGCCUCAAGAUAAGAUAUCCCAUAUCGUAAGGUAGUAAGACCCCUUGCAGACGACAAGGUUGAUAGGUCGGAGAUGGAAGCGCAGUAAUGCGUGCAGUUGACCGAUACUAAUAGGUCGAGGGCUUGAU
rnacentral:rRNA from 1 species